GCGGGUAUCGCAUAGCGGUCGUGCACCGGCUUUCCAAGCCGAUUACAGGGGUUCGACUCCCCUUACCCGCU
rnacentral:tRNA from 1 species